UACAGAGGUCCCAAGCGUUGUUCGGAUUUACUGGGCGUAAAGGGAGCGCAGGUGGCAGAUUAAGUCCGGUGUGAAAGCUCUGAGCUUAACUCAGAAAUGGCACUAGAUACUAUUCUGCUUGAGGAUUGGAGGGGAGACUGGAAUUCUCGGUGUAGCAGUGAAAUGCGUAGAUAUCGAGAGGAACACCAGUGGCGAAGGCGACACGCUGGGUCACACCUGACGCUAAAACGCGACAGCAUGGGGAGCAAACGGG
rnacentral:rRNA from 1 species